GCAUCCGUAGCUCAGCUGGAUAGAGUACUGCCCUCCGAAGGCAGGGGUCACAGGUUCGAAUCCUGUCGGGUGCACCA
rnacentral:tRNA from 10 species